CAGGCUGCAACUCGCCUGCAUGAAGCUGGAAUUGCUAGUAAUCGCGGAUCAGCAUGCCGCGGUGAAUACGUUCCCGGGCCUUGUACACACCGCCCGUCACACCAUGAGAGUCGGGAACACCCGAAGUCCGUAGUCUAACCGCAAGGAGGGCGCGGCCGAAGGUGGGUCCGGUAAUUGGGGUGAAGUCGUAACAAGGUAGC
rnacentral:rRNA from 1 species